GAUGAAGAACGCAGCGAAAUGCGAUAAGUAAUGUGAAUUGCAGAAUUCAGUGAAUCAUCGAAUCUUUGAACGCACCUUGCGCUCCUCGGUAUUCCAAGGAGCAUGCCUGUUCGAGUGUCAUGAAUAAUCAUCAGAGCCCCCUCGUCCUUAUGGACGGUCGGGGGCUUUGGACUUGGACUUCUGCCGGGUUUCCCUCGGCUCGUCCCAAAUGCAUUAGCUGGAUCCCUCCUUUCCCGGUCCUUUUUUCGGCGUGAUAGUUUCAUCUACGUCGCAUUUUCCGGUUGUAAUGGUUGGGCCGCUUCUAAAACCGUCUUCCCCCCCCCCCGAAGACGAUUCACCCCAUUUUUUGACCUCGGAUCAGGUAGGACUACCCGCUGAACUUAAGCAUAUCAAUAAGCGGAGGA
rnacentral:misc_RNA from 1 species